UACAACCAUAUCACGUUAAAACACCGGCUCUCGUACGAUCACCGAAGUUAAGCAACGUCGAUUCUGGUUAGUACCUAGAUGGGUGACCGCUUGGUAAUACCUGGUGUUGUAC